UACGAGGGGGGCAAGCGUUGUUCGGAAUUAUUGGGCGUAAAGGGCGCGUAGGCGGUUUGACAAGUCUGAUGUGAAAUCCCUGGGCUCAACCCAGGAAGUGCACUCGAAACUGGCAGGCUUGAGUACUGAAGAGGGUCGCGGAAUUCCCGGUGUAGAGGUGAAAUUCGUAGAUAUCGGGAGGAACACCAGUGGCGAAGGCGGCGACCUGGGCAGAUACUGACACUGAGGUGCGAAAGCGUGGGGAGCAAACAGG
rnacentral:rRNA from 1 species